CAAGCAAUAGCCGUCAUUUCAACGUCUCGUUUCAGUAUAGACCCGAUAUAGCCGGGCUGUUCCUAGCCCACUUCUAGCCCAAUUAAACUUUAAUUUGGUUACAUGUGGUUUUUGACAAAAUAAUUUGUGAGAUGGAUGCUAUUUUAUCAUGUAAGCAAAGUUAACAGCGAUUACAAGGUAUUUCUUUUCAUUUCUUUAAAGUGUUUUAUGCAUCGUCUGUACGUAGUCAUAAUUUAGCUCAUAAAUAGACCGACUACGAAUAACCCACGUUUAGCCCAGAAAUAACCAUUAAUUUAAUUACAUGUUGUUUUGCCAAAAUUAUUUGUGAGAUGUAUGAUAUUAAAUAAUGUAAACAAAGUUCAAAGCAAUUAAGGUAUUUUGUUUCAUUUCUUUAAAGUGUUUUAUGCACCGUCUGUACUUAGCCACUAUUUAGCUUACAAAUAGACCGACUACGAAUAACCCACGUUUAGCCCAGAAAUAACCAUUAAUUUAAUUACAUGUUGUUUUGCCAAAAUGAUUUGUGAGAUGUAUGAUAUUUAAUCAUGUAAACAAAGUUCAAAGCGAUUAAGGUAUUUUGUUUCAUUUCUUUAAAGUGUUUUAUACACCGUCUGUACUAGCCACUAUUUAGCUUACAAAUAGACCGACUACGAAUAACCCACGUUUAGCCCAGAAAUAACCAUUAAUUUAAUUACAUGUGGUUUUUGCCAAAAUAACUUGUGAGAUGUAUGGUAUGUCAUUGUAAGCAAAGUUAACAGCGAUUACAAGGUUUGUUUAAUUUCUUUAAAGUGUUUUAUGCACCGUCGUACAUAUAGCCACUAUUUGGCUCAUAAAUAGACCGACUACGAACAAACCAUGUUUAGCCCAAAAUAACCUUGAAUUUAAUAAAAUUUUGUUUUUGCCAAAAUAACUUGCAAGAAUUAUGAUAUUUUAUCAGGCAUGCAAAGACACCAGUGAAAUUAAGAUGUUUGGUUUAAUUUAUCUUAUCUGAAUAUCUGCUGUCACGCAUAACAUUCAUUAUUUGACCGUAUUUCAAAGAUAAACAAAAUCCAGUUACAACUCCGAACCGCUAGAUGGCAGCAGUACACAAACACGGGGCCAAAUCUCGCGAGAAAGAUUUCCGCUGUUUGAAAAGCAACAACAUCAGCGAGCAGCCACGAGGAAAGUAUGUACCACACUCGUUUGGUCUUGUAAGUUUUAUUUUAUUAUUUUAUUUUACAUGUGUUUAAAAUUGAUUUACUUUAUUUGUUGUUGGCAUCGCGACAUUCUUGCCGGUUACUUAACAGUGUAACGUAGUAAGUAACCCAUGUUUUAUAAAACCUAAACAGUACAACCUGCAAUGUAAUAAAAUAGUGGAGGUAAAUGAGUCUAUGUAACGUAACGUUACACUGAAGAUCAACAUGAGUGAUUUGUAGGCUGCUUUUUAGUAACAGCAGUAACUUAGCUAAGUCUUACAGGCCUUCAGUCUGUUGGAAAAAAGAGUUGUAUUGUGUUAGUGAGGGAAACUUGCAGGUCAGUGGGCAUUAACCUUUAAGGUUGGUAAACACUUGUACACUGAAGCAUACAAUACUGUACAAUUACUGACAUAGGCAUGUGCUAUGUAUAAAUAUUUCAGUCUGCAACUGUUAACGACAUUGUCUUUUCUAUUUUAGAGUUCACUAAAAUUCAUUAAUUUCAAAGUUCAACAUGAAUGGUGGUGGUCCACUACAGAAGCAAGCAUUUGAAAAAACAUCAGUUCUCAGUUAUUAAAGAUGCUGUGUUGAACAACUUCCCAGCAGCAACAGAACUGGAAGUGAAGGAUGCAAUGGGGGCAUUUCAAACAGGCACCAGGGAGCACGGGGGGGGGGGGGUAUAGAAAUUAGUACAAUUAAUAAGUUGACGUGAACUGAAGAUAGUUCGUUAAUGUUUAGAUGUUAUUUCAUUUUUAAAAUUGUAUUUUGUUAUAUAUGCUUUUAUUUUGUUACUGUUUUUAUUCUUUUUGUUAAAAGUAGUUUUUCUUCAUUUUGUCUUAUCUGAAUUUCUAUUGUAUUAACAAUAUUUUUUGUAAUAAAUUGCAUGAUUGCAUGUUUAUGAGAACCUUUUUUAAUGGAUUAAAAAGAAUUCUUUAGCCA